rnacentral:rRNA from 1 species
GAUGAACGUUGGCGGCGUGCCUAAUACAUGCAAGUCGAGCGAACGGACGAGAAGCUUGCUUCUCUGAUGUUAGCGGCGGACGGGUGAGUAACACGUGGAUAACCUACCUAUAAGACUGGGAUAACUUCGGGAAACCGGAGCUAAUACCGGAUGAUAUUUCGAACCGCAUGGUUCAAAAGUGAAAGACGGUCUUGCUGUCACUUAUAGAUGGAUCCGCGCUGCAUUAGCUAGUUGGUAAGGUAACGGCUUACCAAGGCAACGAUGCAUAGCCGACCUGAGAGGGUGAUCGGCCACACUGGAACUGAGACACGGUCCAGACUCCUACGGGAGGCAGCAGUAGGGAAUCUUCCGCAAUGGGCGAAAGCCUGACGGAGCAACGCCGCGUGAGUGAUGAAGGUCUUCGGAUCGUAAAACUCUGUUAUUAGGGAAGAACAUAUGUGUAAGUAACUGUGCACAUCUUGACGGUACCUAAUCAGAAAGCCACGGCUAACUACGUG